rnacentral:lncRNA from 1 species
AGAGAGAGAGAGAGAGACUGGGGCAGGGGGCAGAGGGAGAGAGGGAAUCCUAAGCUGAUUCCCCAACUGAGCGAGCGCAGAGCCCGAUGCGGGGCUGGACCCUGGGCUCUGAGAUCAGGACCCAGGCUGUAACCAAGGGUCGGACACCCAGCCGGUGAGCCACCCCGGCGCCCUCGGCAUCCUAUUUUUGUAUCCUGAGAUUGUCGCAUCAAGAAGGCAGAUCCUCUCCUGUGUGCCCCUCAUUGCUAAAGCGAUCGUACCUUGCUCCCAGGUAGCUCCCCAUUCCUCGUCUGUCCUAGUUCUCGCUCCCGCUCCCCUGUACAGCUUUCUCCGUUGCUCUUGUUCUUGGAGAUCAAGAAGGACAACAGGGAAAUGGUGAGAAAAAGUACUUUAGUCUUUGUCUAGCACAGACUUCAGUGGGCUUGUCCCCAUCUCAUAGUGGUCUCUGCCCAGCAUCCUUCUCGAAGCAUGCUUCUCACCCUCCCUGAGCCAGAAGCCCCGACUUGUUUUGUUUUUUAAGAUUUUAUUUUUUUAUUCAUGAGAUACACAGAGAGAGGCAGAGACACAGGCAGAGGGAGAAGCAGUCCGAUGCGGGACUCGAUCCCUGGACCCUGGGAUCCUAACCUGAGCCGAAGGCAAAUGCUCAACCGCUGAGCCACCCAGGGGCCCCCAGAAGCCCUGAGUUUUAACCCAGCUUUGCUGCUUCCUUACUGAUUUCUGUCUGGAACAUGGGCUCUCGAAACCUGCCUCGCCUGUGAGAGCCCAUGAGGAGAGGCGGAUGUGGAAGUAGAAAGCCCACCACAGGUACGAUGCUGGCUUAGAAGCAAGCAUAGCACCCCUGCUCUCUGGGCACCAGCUGCCAGGCUUGACCGUGCAGGCGGGCCCCACGCCCCACUUCCUAGCAGGUGCGGCCGCAGGGGCCGGCCUGCAGCUGCAGCCCAGGUCUGUGGGAGAUCCGGGCAGAGAAUUACAGGUGCACACCCAAGCCCAUAUGUGCCGAAGACCCUCGGUCCAAGACUUUCCAUAAGCCACAGGUCCCUGGUGCUUGCCGCCACCCCCACACAGUCUGCCGGCCUAGACUAUGCCCCCGCGACUGUGUUAACUGUAUGUGAGGUAUCCUACAGAAAAGACCUGAUCUCCGAAUGGAUCAGACUGUGAGAAGACAAUGUAUGGCCUCUACGAUAUUUUUCAUUUGCCUGAACCCCAAGAGGCCAAGCCCUGGAUUUGUCUUGUUUUCUACUUUGUCUCCAGGGCCCGGCGCAUAAUAGGCACCAAAGAUUUCUGGAAGAAGAACGCAUUGCCAUGGCAGCUUAUCUCCUCUACAGGGUAGUAAAUGGAAAUUGAGAUAUGGGGUGGGAAUGAAUUAGGUUCUUAUGCUGGGAGGAGAGCUCGAAUACAGAAGGGGAGGCAGGUUGUAUUCCGAUCAAGGAGGAUCCAAGUUUCCCCUGUAAUUUCAGUGUGAGCGGGAUUCU